rnacentral:lncRNA from 1 species
GACCCAUAGACUGGAGGUAUUAGUUUCCAUCCUGGCCAGAGGACCAGACCCAUAGACUGGAGGUAUUAGUUUCCAUCCUGGCCAGGGGACCAGACCCAUAGACUGGAGGUAUUAGUUUCCAUCCUAGCCAGGGGACCAGACCCAUAGACUGGAGGUGUCCUCUUCACCUCGGGGACAGGGGACUUUGUUGGUCUUCCAGCCAAUCUCACCUUUAGUAUUUGGUCCCAUUUUCCUUGCUUGCAGUGAUUAACCUCACUUGGGCAGGUGGGACGCUACCGUCCCACCCACGGUUAACACUAUUCAACAGCCAGUGAAAAUCAGAGCGCCAAAUUCAAAACAACAAAAUGUCAUAAUUCAAAGUUCUCAAACAUACGACUAUUUUACACCAUUUUAAAGAUACACUUCUCCUUAACUACAUAUAGUUUGUGACUCUACAAACUUGUUGAAUUAAUUUGCAGUUUGUCUUGGUUGUGUUUUAGAUAAUGUUUUUCCUAAUAGAAACUGAAUGGUGAAUAACGUCCUGUCAUUUUGGAGUCACUUCACUUUUAUUGUAAGUUAGAAUAGAAUAUGUUUCUGAAUACUUCUUCAAAUUACCAAUGUCCUUAUAUGAACUGUAACUCAGUAAAUGUUUGAAAUUGUUGUAUGUUGCAUUUAUAUUUUGGUUUCCGUAGUUUCAUCAGAUGUUGUUCUUUACCCAGACACCCUGCACAGUCUGUAGAUGUUAUCUGUGGUUAGAGGCAUUUAUCAAUGCAUUCAUUCAGACUGUCAACAGAUAAUAUAACAUACCUGAUUCCAACAUUAAGUGCAGGACUUUAUACAAGGCAUUUGGUCCAGGUGUUCCAAUUGUCUAGAGAAAUGCAUUUUCUCUCCGCUCCUAGAAGGUACUCUGCUAACUGGUAAUAUAGGAGAAAUCUGAAAUGUGGCAUUGAAUUCAUAGCAGUAACGGGACCAGUCUAAAAGCCACUAUGAUAGGAACAGUAUCUAUACAGGAGAAUGAUCAGAGUUAUGUCUCCACUAUUAAAGGGACAGUAUGAUCAGAGUCAUGUCUCCAAUGUUCACUUUAGGGAAAGAAGUCACACUUCCUGUUUCC